AUCUAAGCCUCAUCAAGUGGUUGUGAUAUGGAUACCCAACGCAUAUCACAGCCAGCUUUGAUGAGCUAGGAU
ensembl:ncRNA mir-2a-2 mir-2a-2 stem loop